rnacentral:rRNA from 1 species
AGCGAACGCUGGCGGUAGGCCUAACACAUGCAAGUCGAACGGCAGCACAGUAAGAGUUUGCUCUUACGGGUGGCGAGUGGCGGACGGGUGAGGAAUACAUCGGAAUCUACUUUUUCGUGGGGGAUAACGUAGGGAAACUUACGCUAAUACCGCAUACGCCCUACGGGUGAAAGCAGUGGAUCUUCGGACCUUGCGCGAUUGAAUGAGCCGAUGUCGGAUUAGCUAGUUGGCGGGGUAAAGGCCCACCAAGGCGGCGAUCCGUAGCUGGUCUGAGAGGAUGAUCGGCCACACUAGAACUGGGACACGGUCCAGGCUCCUAAGGGAGGCAGCAGUGGGGAAUAUUGGACAAUGGGCGCAAGCCUGAUCCAGCCAUACCGCGUGGGUGACGAAGGCCUUCGGGUUGUAAAGCCCUUUUGUUGGGAAAGAAAAGCAGCAGGUUAAUACCCCGCUGUUCUGACGGUACCCAAAGAAUAAGCACCGGCUAACUUCGUG